rnacentral:rRNA from 1 species
CCUACGGGUGGCAGCAGUGAGGAAUAUUGGUCAAUGGGCGAGAGCCUGAACCAGCCAAGUCGCGUGAAGGAAGACAGUCCUAAGGAUUGUAAACUUCUUUUAUACGGGAAUAACGGGCGAUACGAGUAUUGCAUUGAAUGUACCGUAAGAAUAAGCAUCGACUAACUCCGUGCCAGCAGCCGCGGUAAUACGGAGGAUGCGAGCGUUAUCCGGUUUUAUUGGGUUUAAAGGGUGCGUAGGUUGUUCGGUAAGUCAGCGGUGAAACCUGAGCGCUCAACGUUCAGCCUGCCGUUGAAACUGCCGGGCUUGAGUUCAGUGGCGGCAGGCGGAAUUCGUGGUGUAGCGGUGAAGUGCAUAGAGAGCACGGGGAACUCCGAUUGCGAAGGCAGCUUGCCAUACUGCGACUGACACGGAAGCACGAAGGCGUGGGUAUCAAACAGGAUUAGAUACCCCUGUAGUC